GACUACAUGAAGCUGGAAUCGCUAGUAAUCGCGGAUCAGAAUGCCGCGGUGAAUACGUUCCCGGGUCUUGUACACACCGCCCGUCACACCAUGGGAGUCGGAAAUGCCCGAAGUCUGUGACCCAACCUACGGGAGGGAGCAGCCGAAGGCAGGUCGGAUGACUGGGGUGAAGUCGUAACAAGGUAGC
rnacentral:rRNA from 1 species